rnacentral:rRNA from 1 species
CGCGGCCUAUCAGCUUGUUGGUGGGGCCACGGCCCACCAAGGCGACGACGCGUAGCGGGUCUGAGAGGACGACCCGUCACAUUGGGACUGAGAUACGGCCCAGACUCCUACGGGAGGCAGCAGUGGGGAAUAUUGCGCAAUGGGCGAAAGCCUGACGCAGCGACGCCGCGUGUGGGAGGAAGCCUUUCGGGGUGUAAACCACUGUCAGAGGGGAAGAACGGCGCCGGCCCGAAUACGGUUGGCGAUUGACGGUACCUUCAGAGGAAGCGCCGGCUAACUCCGCGCCAGCAGCCGCGGUAAGACGGAGGGCGCAAGCGUUGUUCGGAAUUACUGGGCGUAAAGGGCGGGCAGGCGGUCUGUUAAGUCUUCUGUGAAAAUCCGGGGCUCAACCCCGCGAAAUGCAGGAGAUACUGGCAGACUAGAGACCGGUAGAGGCUAGCGGAAUUCCUGGUGUAGCGGUGGAAUGCGUAGAUAUCAGGAAGAACACCUGUGGCGAAGGCGGCUAGCUGGGCCGGAUCUGACGCUCAUCCGCGAAAGCGUGGGGAGCAAACAGGAUUAGAUACCCUGGUAGUCCACGCCGUAAACGAUGGGCACUAGGUACCGGGUCUAUAGACGGAUUCGGUGCCGCAGCUAACGCAUUAAGUGCCCCGCCUGGGGAGUACGG